UACGUAGGGGGCAAGCGUUGUCCGGAAUCAUUGGGCGUAAAGCGCGCGUAGGCGGCCAGAUAAGUCCGGUGUGAAAGUCACAGGCUCAACCUGUGAAUGCCGCUGGAAACUGUCUGGCUUGAGUCCGGAAGGAGGAGAGUGGAAUUCCCGGUGUAGCGGUGAAAUGCGCAGAUAUCGGGAAGAACACCCGUGCGAAGGCGGCUCUCUGGGACGGUACUGACGCUGAGGCGCGAAAGCGUGGGGAGCGAACAGG
rnacentral:rRNA from 1 species